GGUUAUAGCUCAGUUGGUAGAGCGCCACACUGUGACUGUGGAUGCCGAGGGUUCGAGCCCCUCUAAU
rnacentral:tRNA from 1 species